CCCUCACCCAUGUGUGUAGGACCCCAAAGGAUCACCAUUACAUUUGGCACAAAUCUUUAGAAAAGUUAUCACAUGUGUGUGGGACUGACUUUUCUAAAGAUCUGUACCAAAUUUAGUAGUGAUCCUUUAGGGUCCUACACACAUGGGUGUGGG
rnacentral:pre_miRNA from 1 species